rnacentral:misc_RNA from 1 species
GAUGAAGAACGUAGCGAAAUGCGAUAAGUAAUGUGAAUUGCAGAAUUCAGUGAAUCAUCGAAUCUUUGAACGCACCUUGCGCUCUUUGGUAUUCCGAAGAGCAUGCCUGUUUGAGUGUCAUGAAAAUAUCAACCUUGACUUGGGUUUUGUGCUCUAGUCUCGGCUUGGAAUUGGGUGCUUGCCGCUUUUACGAGCGGCUCACCUUAAAUGUAUUAGCUGGAUCUGUCUUUGAGACUUGGUUUGACUUGGCGUAAUAAGUAUUUCGCUAAGGACAUUCUUCGGAGUGGCCUCGUUUCUAGGACGCUUGUCCGCUUUCCAAUACAAGUUCCACCUCGUGGACAUGACUUUUUAUUAUCUGGCCUCAAAUCAGGUAGGACUACCCGCUGAACUUAAGCAUAUCAAUAAGCUGAGGA